CGCGCCCGCAGCAUCAUUAAAAUAUUGUUUUCAAAAGUGUGUAUAAAACAUUCUUGGAAUGGGUUGAAAGUUGGUUUGCGGUCUUGUUAUUAUAGGUAGACCGGGUGCCAAAUUUUGUCGCAUUCGAGAUAGAUUGAUACCCCAAUGGAUGACUAUAGCGGCAACAUAAUCGGAUAAAUUAUCAGACUUUUUUCGGUUUAAAAAACUAUGUAGCGGGCUACAAACCUCCCACUCUUCUGAGCCUAAGACAUUCUACACAUCCCACUAGCCCAGCUAGCCUCUUCCGUUUCUGGACCGUCCGAUCAAGAAACGAGAGCCUAAAACCCUCCCAUAAGCCUAGUUACGAUGUCUAUAUAAAGGAAGUUACCCUCCUUGCCUACCUAAUCCUACACUCCUCUCGGCAUCGGCGAUGCAAGCCUCCACCAGCCUCCAGGGCAAACUACUCCUCCGAAGUCGCAUCGGCCCUCUGGGUCCAUAUCGGGGCAUGCCCAAGCCCAUCUGAGCUAGGACAAGCCCGCCUUCGCUCACAGCCGCCCGACACCCUCUGCCUCCCAUGCGCCACUGCGGCUAGGACUAUCCGCACUAGCCCCGCUGCCCCGGCGGCGAGCCGCCCCGUUGCAACCUCAUCGCCCCUUGUCGGAAGCUCGUCGGAGACAGAUAGACCAACCGCACGUCCCUUCUCCUUUUUCCUCUAUGUCUCUCUCCCUCCCGAUUUCUCUAUCUCUCCCUCGCCCGCAGGAGCUCGCCAUGAAGGCCACAUCUCGCUGCCGAAGGUAUGCCCGCCGCAGCUAUUACCUCGAUCCGGGCAGAGGGGGGUAGAUCCGGCCAUCCCCGUGGAACUCCGCCGAAGCCGAGUCGUUGGCGUGUCGCACGUACACCGGAGUCAAGCUGUCGUUGCUCCAUGCCUCCGCUCUGCCCGUGGUGGAAACCUCCCUUGAGGGAUCGAGUGAGGAGAGCGCUCACUCGCCUGGGCCUCCCUCUAACUCCCCUAGGCCACGUCAUCGCCAUUGGCCGCCAAGGCCCAACACGCCCGAGUCUACCCCAAGCCGAGCCUGGAGGCUAACAAAACCCAGCCGCGACCCCCAUCAACAUGGGCCUACCCACGAGAUCUUGAGGACCAUAAGGGUAGUACUGAGCUCUUGCGUGCUAUAAAAAUUGAGAAGGCUAGUGGCCCGGAUCUUUAGAGUACAAGGGUAGGAAAAGGAAGCGGAGUAGACAGAGAAGCAACGAGCAUCAUGGGGAACACGAAGAAAUUAACAAAGUCGUCAUGAAGCCGUCGAUGUCCAGGAAAAAGAGAAAGGCUAGUGAAGGAAAGUGCACUAAUCCAAAGAGCAAGAGAAGGCUGAAUAAGGAUAAGCAGCCAUCACCUGGAUCUUUACCUAUUGAGAAGAAUAAGCAGCCAUCACAUGGAUCUUUACCCAUUGAGAAGAAUAAGCAGCCAUCACUAUCCAAAAAGGUGGUAAGAUCUCCAGUCCUUAACAAUGUGGUAAUGUCAUUCUUAGCAAGAAGGGAAAAAAGGCUAAGUCACUAGCAAGCUCCCCUUCACAUCCUUCACUUCUAGCUCUGUCACCAAAUGUAGAAAACUUUGGUUCACGCAGACCACGAAAAUUAAAUUCCAAAAUUUGGAAUGAGGUAGAACCGAUAUAUGUUGAUGGAAUGCUUUCACAAGGUCGUUGCACUCAUUGGAACCAAUUCUUUCCUACCUCGAAAAAGACAGGGACAAGUCAUAUCCUUAAAAAUUUGGGGGUAUGUGAGGAAAAAACUAAAAUGGAUGGUAUGGUUGCCAAGAUUCGAACUGAUAGUGCAAUUAAUCUUGAUUGGAAGUUUGACCAAGGGCGUGCACGUAGAGCACUGGUAAAGUUGAUUGUACUACAUGAAUUACCUUUUACUUUUGUUGAGUACCCUGGCUUUAGGUCCUUUGUUAAGACUUUGAAUCCAUGGUUUGAUGUGGUAUCUAGGGCAAAAAUUAAAGAGGAUUGCAUUGCUUCAUAUCAUAGGCACAAAAAUUAAAUUCAAGCAUUCUUUAGCAGUCUAAAUUCCCGAGUAUGACUAAUGGGUAACAUGUGGACGUCAAAUCAGAAACUGGGUUACUUUUGCAUAACCGCCCACUAUAUUGAUGACUCGUGGACUCUGCAAAGCAAACUAAUCCGAUUUUGCCUCUUGGAAACCCCCACACAAUGCCCAUAACAUGUUUGACAUGGUGCAAAAGAGCUUGAGAGAGUGGAACAUUGAAGAGAAAAUCUUCAGCUUUACCCUGGACAAUGCACGAGUCAAUACCUCAAUGGUUGGCCACUUGAGAAAGAAGUUGGUAGAUAGGUAUCUUCUCCAUCAUAGUGGAAAAUUAUUGCAUGUUAGAUGUGCUGCGUAUAUACUGAAUCUUGUGGUGCAAGAUGGGCUAGAUGCAAUGGCUUCGGUAGUUGAUCGAAUCGGAGAAUCAGUGCAGUAUGUCAAAAGUUCGCAAGGUAGAAUGGAGCGAUUCGAUGAGAUGAUUGCGCAAGUGGGACUUGCUUGUAAAAACCACCCUUCGGUAGAUGUGCCUACAAGAUGGAAUUCAAUGUACCUUAUGCUUGAAUCAUCAUUGCCAUUCAGAGCAGCGUUUGAAUCCUUGAAAGAACCCGACAAAGAUUAUAAAUUCGCUCCUUCAGCUAGUGAAUGGGAGAUGGCUGAAGCUAUUUUCCAUCUCUUGGGCGCUUUCGGGUAGGACAUAUCCCACCUCUCACCUUUACUUCUACGAGGUCUGGAAUGUGAAGCAAAUAAUGGAGAAAGAAGUCUUGAGUGAAAAUCCUACCAUUAUUUCCAUGGUGAAAGAGAUGGAGAAGAAGUGGAUCAAAUAUUUUGAGGAGUCAUUCUUAGCAAGUUGUGUGCCAGUAAUUUUUGAUCCAAGGUACAAAUAUGAAUAUGUUGACUUCCGAUUGACUGCAAGAUUUGGUGAUGACGCCGAGAAAUAGCUUACCCUAGUACACAGUGCGAUGAAGAUCCUAUUUUCCAUAUAUGCAUCUGAACUUGAAAACACUUGUGAUAAAGGUGAUGAGCUUGCAGAGGAGGAUGUCGAGGGCACUCUGGAUGAUUGGGAUAAGCAUUUGAGGUAGAAAAGAUCUCACAACUCGAAUGAGCUGCAACGAUAUCUUGAAGAAGAGUUGUUUCCUCGUCGACAGAACUUGAAGUGUGCCUGCGAAGGCUGCAUUCAGCAAUGCUGGAAGAGUCAUCACUGAACAUAGAAGUAGUUUGAGCCCGAGUACCGUUGAGACGCUGAUGUGCCUCGAGGAUUGGCUUCGGUCAGCCGAUAGCCAAAAGGUGGAACUAACAGUCGGAGACCAUGGUGGUGAUCAAGAUGUUGCUGGAACCACCUAGAGUUCUGGAGCAGUCAACUGUCAGCAUCAGAAUGAUCCAUGGCUUCUUUCAACAUAUAUGAAGUUUCAGGGAAGUGUAGCUUCAGAUAAUCAUCAUUGAAGAUUUUGCUAUCCUAGUAGAUAAUCUUGAAUCAUUUUGAAUGUUCAAGAUAAUGCCCAUGUACGAUCCAGGUAGUAGUUAUGAUUAAAUUACACUUCAUAUAAUCAUCGUGUUGCUUCCCGCAUUGUCGCCAACCUGGUCGUAGUUAUGAUUAAAUUACACUUUCAGGGUGAUAAUGCCCAUGUACGAUCCUGGUUGUAGCUUCAGAUAAGCAUGAUUCAAAAAGUGGAUAAUAGUCGUACAUGUUGUAUACAUUUAAAAAGUGGGAACCCACUUGAUCCCACUUAACCCACUUAAAUUUUA